AAAGGCGUUCGCACCUACAAAGCCGGAGAUGCACCUGCAAACAAGGCAGUUCCCCUCGCCUGCAACUCCCCCCGGGGCGGCACUUUAUUUGCAAAGCUGCGUAAUUGGUUUAGGCUUGUGGGGAAAGAAGGAGAGACAGAGAAACCAUGUGAGUCACCGUGCUGAGACAUAACACUACAGGUUCUCAAUAAAUACGGACAGAGGCCUGAAUGCGGAUCCACUGAUAUUAACCUCCACUUGGCAAACAUCAGUCAAAUCCUUGAAACAGACAAAACUCUGGAAUCAGAAGAGGAGAACAACAUAUGAAAAUAUGUCUUGAAGGAAAGAAAAUAUAUAAAAACACCGGAUUAAACCCCUGCUUUCUCAAAUGGUCAAACUACACCCAUGGGCAUUGGGACAAACCCCAGUGGAAUAUCUAAGAAAAACUAGAAUUGCGGUCUUCACGUA